UUUAAAUCUCCGCGGGGGUGCGUGUCUCGGAACCCACUGCAUUCACCCUCUCGCAAACUUUCUCCCACUCCAAGCGUUUUUGUUUUGCACUGACGCAACUGGACAGGCUGCCAAACAAAACACGCUGUCGCUCCUCCACCUUCGCCACCAGCACCUCCACCUCGCACGCCGUAAAUUUAGUUUUUCUUGUCAUUUUGUCUGCGUGCGAGGACAGGGAGACCCUAUUUAAAUAAAUCUGCAUAUUUAUAGGAGGGCGUAACGGGGACGGGCCCAGUCACUCCGACAUCUGCGCUCAAUUCCACGCUGAUUGGGAUUUAUCAAGGAAACACACGUGGAUUUCGGCGCCCGCACACAUUGAUACAUACGGAUUUUUUUCAGCGUUACGGACCUUGCGUGCGCUCGUUUCUGGUAUGAGUUCCACGCAAGUGUUGAUACAUGAGGCCCCUGGACCCUCCAAAAAGUACAUAACACAGUGGGCUAGAGAAUGAAAAAGCUUAACAGCCAGCUAGAAGCACAGUGAAAAGCUGUUCACUAGGAAUGACCACGCCACAGUGAUGUACGUUUGAAUAUUUAAUAUGAAUUUGGGAAUGUGUAUGUCUUGUCUGUUGUAUGUGUGUUGUGAUGGAUGAUGAGGCUAAUGAGGAGUGUUGAAUGUCUGGUUGGUCUGGGAGGUUCUGUAGAGGCCCGGCAGGGAGAGACUCAGGAUGGGGGUUCUGUCUCAGGCAUUGUUCUGCCCGAGCUUAGUCCAACCCAGACUGUACCUGAAAAUGGAUUGAGAUCAGAGAGAGGUGGACCAGGAAGGUAGUAGAAGCAUUAAUAUUGAAGAGGGAGGGUAGGUGGGUCAAAGAAUCACAGACAAACAGAGUGUGGUAGGAUGGAUGUGUAUAUGUAGGCUAGUCAGGUGAUUGGAAGUGUGGUGAAGGUGUGGCCUUGCUCCUGAACCUAAGUUAAUACAUUAACUUCAUUUCACUAGCAAUGACCAUGCCACAGUGCUGUACGUUUGAAUAUUUGAUAUGAAUUUGGGAAUGUGUAUGUCUUAACUAUUGUGUGUUCGUUGUGAUGGAUGAUGAGACUAAUGAGGAGUGUUGAAUGUCUGGUUGGUCUGGGAGGUUCUGUAGAGGCCCGGCAGGGAGAGACUCAGGAUGGGGGUUCUGUCCCAGGCGUUGUUCUGCCUGAGCUUAGUCCAGCCCCCAAAGAGUUGUAUUGGAAAGAGGCUUAAUUGAAUGUGUGCUUGACGCAGAUUGUUGGGAUUAUUUUGGAUGUAGGAGUGAUGUGCCUGAGAUGACCGUCGACCGAGGGUCGGAAUGGUUCAAUCUGAUAUGCUGAGUCUGGCUGCUGUGGAUGCUGUGCCAAUAUGGAAUGAAUGGGCUGAGUAGUGCUCUUAAGUUAUGCCUGAUAUGGGGGAGGACUUGAUGCAGAUGUUUAUAGAACCUGAUUCUUGUAGCUGUGUAUUUCCAUUUUUUGGUAAGGAAAAGAAGGUUGUGAGGUGAUGCUUGAGCAGCAUGCCUGGAGUUCAUGUACGUUGUAAGUGGUUUAUAUGGACUGAGAUAGGAAUAGAGGCAGGAGAUGUAGAUAGGGAAAAACCCCAAGAUGGUCUGUUUUAUUGCCUCAGGGUGUGAAUGUGAGAGAGAAUCUGAAGUGUGCGCUGCGAUGUCUGAAAGUUUAGGAUGGCAGGAUGGAUUGAAGAUGGAUGAGGUGAGUGCAAAUUAAGAGCUUCUAAAGAAACCAAAUAAGGCGAACAAAACAUUGAUUCUAGCAUAGAAUCGAACGUUGGGGAUGAGUUGCCUGAAUAGAGAGAAUGAAUGCAGAGGCUGAGUAAGUCGGAGGUGAGCAGUAGGUGCUUGGUGGGAUGGUAGGCUCCUGUUUUAGUUCAGCCUUUGAUUAGCAUUGUUUUGUGGGAAUGAGGGAUGGCAGUGCAUUGCAAGCCAGUGAUAAGUUUGAGAAGAAGUUAAUGCCAGCCAAGUAGGUUUGAAUGGUAGAGGAUCAGAUUUUUGGAUGAUGUGAGUAUGGGUUAUGGAUUGCAGAUGGACAUGAUGUCCAGAGAAGGGAAAGGCAACUGGUAUGAGGAGUGGCAUGACUUGGAGCAGUUCCAGCUUGCAAGGUAAGCAGAUAAAGUACUAGGUAUUUCAUCUCUUGAGGCAUUAGUGAGGUUCGUUAGUUGGGAAGUUUGUUGAAUGUUGUGGCUGAAAACAGAAAGACUUGUGAGGGAUGUGGAUUGGACUUUGGGGCCAGAUGUCUGAAUUUUAUUCAUGCCCCCAAAGUAAGGCAGUAACAAGAGUCCGUGCAGGGCGAAUGAAGGAGACUGGGAUUCUUUGUCAAGGUCUUUUAGCUCUAGAGGCUAAUUGGAAACGAUCCAUCUUUCCCUGUAGUAACCUCCGAAACCUAUGGAGGGAGCUGCAUCUGUGAACAGCUGAAUAUCUUCUGGUUGGUUAUAAAUCAUCAUCUUAGGAUAGCCAGUGUAGGAGUUGGUAGAGGGCUCUAUGGAGAGCUGCGGAACUGGCUAUGGUGGGAAGAGAGGGAACAGAAGCCGUAUUACUGUAUGUGGCUGAAGAAAGGGGAGAGGAGGGGAUGUUGGGAUGGAAGGAUUUAUGUGCACAGGGAUUUGGUGCAGCCUGCGAACGCAGAAAAGUGAAGAAGCUAUGAUAGCUUGGGAGGAGUCAGACAC
rnacentral:lncRNA from 1 species